rnacentral:rRNA from 1 species
GAGUUUGAUCUUGGCUCAGGAUAAACGCUGGCGGCGCACAUAAGACAUGCAAGUCGAACGGACUUAACCAUUAGUUUACUAUUGGAGCGGUUAGUGGCGGACUGGUGAGUAACACGUAAGCAACCUGCCUAUCAGAGGGGAACAACAGUUAGAAAUGACUGCUAAUACCGCAUAUGCCUAAGUAUCGCAUGAUACAAUAGGGAAAGAGAAAUCCGCUGAUAGAUGGGCUUGCGUCUGAUUAGAUAGUUGGUGUGGUAACGGCAUACCAAGUCGACGAUCAGUAGCCGGACUGAGAGGUUGAACGGCCACAUUGGGACUGAGAUACGGCCCAGACUCC